rnacentral:ncRNA from 1 species
AGACUGUGAUUAUAAAUAAUUGCAGCUUUCUGUCGAAAGACAGAUCGAAACUCUCUGGGAUAACGGUGAAGGCUAAGUCUUUGAAGAUAUGCGAAUACCGUGGGAACCCUUCGACUCACUUUGUUUGCUCAGAGUGAACCGAUGGGGCGCCGUAGAGACUAGAUACCAGAGUAUCCUUUUGUAAAAAGGAUAAAGAUAUAGUCCAUGCUAUUACGAAAGUAAUGG